rnacentral:piRNA from 1 species
CAAAUACGUACAUUUCCAGGGC